CGACUACGAGUUUGAUCAUGGCUCAGAAUGAACGCUGGCGGCGUGGUUAACACAUGCAAGUCGAACGAGUAGCUACUUCGGUAGCGAGAGUGGCGGACGGGUGAGUAACGCGUAGGAAUCUGCCUGUUAGUGGGGGACAACGUGGGGAAACUCACGCUAAUACCGCAUACGCCCUACGGGGGAAAGGAGGGGAUCUUCGGACCUUUCGCUAACAGAUGAGCCUGCGUUAGAUUAGCUAGUUGGUGGGGUAAAGGCCUACCAAGGCGACGAUCUAUAGCUGUUCUGAGAGGAAGAUCAGCCACACUGGGACUGAGACACGGCCCAGACUCCUACGGGAGGCAGCAGUGGGGAAUAUUGGACAAUGGGCGCAAGCCUGAUCCAGCAAUACCGCGUGUGUGAAGAAGGCCCUAGGGUUGUAAAGCACUUUCAAUGGGGAGGAAAAGAGUGGGCAAAUACCCUGCUUAUUGACAUUACCCAUACAAGAAGCACCGGCUAACUCCGUG
rnacentral:rRNA from 1 species